rnacentral:rRNA from 1 species
AACGAACGCUGGCGGCAGGCCUAACACAUGCAAGUCGAGCGGACCUUUCGGGGUCAGCGGCGGACGGGUGAGUAACGCGUGGGAAUAUGCCCUUCUCUACGGAAUAGUCCUGGGAAACUGGGGGUAAUACCGUAUACGCCCUUUGGGGGAAAGAUUUAUCGGGGAAGGAUUAGCCCGCGUUGGAUUAGGUAGUUGGUGGGGUAAUGGCCUACCAAGCCGACGAUCCAUAGCUGGUUUGAGAGGAUGAUCAGCCACACUGGGACUGAGACACGGCCCAGACUCCUACGGGAGGCAGCAGUGGGGAAUCUUAGACAAUGGGGGCAACCCUGAUCUAGCCAUGCCGCGUGAGGGAUGAAGGCCUUAGGGUUGUAAAGCUCUUUCAGCUGGGAAGAUAAUGACGGUACCAGCAGAAGAAGCCCCGGCUAACUCCGUG